rnacentral:lncRNA from 1 species
GAGGAGGAUCUUGGGAUUUGACUGGUUUUAAUGGCCACACCUGAUUCUGGUUUUUCCACUGCAUCAGAAGGAAGAUCUUUGCUCUGGCAUUUCCCUGGAAAUCCUGGUCUUGUGGAAAGAUUUGGAUACUCAUGGGUGGGACAUCUGCCUUGAAGGAGACUACUUUUCCCUGGAGUGCUGAGAGUCAUCUGUCUGACAGCUACCAGUCAAAGACCACUUGGCUAAGGAAAGGAAGAUCUCAUGGGGAAAUGAGCAGAAUCAGGAAUACAAUUCAUGCCAAAACAGCAAAAUUCAAAGACAACAGGACAGGAGAAAAGGCUCCAUGUCGAGAACAAAGUGCAACAUUCAAAUACAGUCACUGGAGAAGGAAGAGUCACUAGCAGAAGUGAAGAGAAGAGGCAAGCCAUUGAAAUAUAACCGUGGCCCCAACUUCCAGAAAAAGAAUUAAUUCAGAGUCUUAAUAGAAUGGGGAUAAGGUUUAUAUAGAGUAAAUAAUAUAAGAGCAAUACAAAAGGUAGAUAAUAUGAUAUAGGUUGUAUAUAUUAUCAUAUAAUACAUAUUUCUACAUUCAUUAUAUUGUGAAAUAAGAUGCAUAUUGUUUACAGUAGAGAAGAAUUCAUGGGGUAAAUAAAGUGACAAACAGUCAUUUCA